CCUACGGGAGGCAGCAGUGAGAAAUAUUGGUCAAUGGCCGCAGGGCUGAACCAGCCAAGUCGCGUGCGGGAUGACGGUCCUAUGGAUUGUAAACCUCUUUUGUCAGGGAGCAAAGGGCGCCACGUGUGUUGCUCUGCGAGUACCUGAAGAAUAAGCAUCGGCUAACUCCGUGCCAGCAGCCGCGGUAAUACGGAGGAUGCGAGCGUUAUCCGGAUUUAUUGGGUUUAAAGGGUGCGAAGGCGGAAUGUAAAGUCAGCGGUAAAAUUUCGGGGCUUAACCCGGUCGUGCCGUUGAAACUGGCGUUCUUGAGAGAGCGAGAGGUAGGCGGAAUGCGUGGUGUAGCGGUGAAAUGCAUAGAGAUCACACAGAACACCGAUUGCGAAGGCAGCAUACCGGCGCAUAACUGACGCUCAGGCACGAAAGCGUGGGUAUCGAACAGGAUUAGAUACCCUUGUAGUC
rnacentral:rRNA from 1 species